GCCGCUGUGGUGAAAUUGGCAGACGCGCUGGACUCAAAAUCCUGUGGUAGCGAUACCGUGUCGGUUCGAGUCCGACCAGCGGCACCA
rnacentral:tRNA from 1 species